rnacentral:rRNA from 1 species
GACGAACGCUGGCGGCGUGCUUAACACAUGCAAGUCGAACGGAAAGGCCCUGCUUUUGUGGGGUGCUCGAGUGGCGAACGGGUGAGUAACACGUGAGUAACCUGCCCUUGACUUUGGGAUAACUUCAGGAAACUGGGGCUAAUACCGGAUAUGAGCUCCUGCUGCAUGGGGGGGGUUGGAAAGUUUCGGCGGUUGGGGCUGGACUCGCGGCUUAUCAGCUUGUUGGUGGGGUAGUGGCUUACCAAGCCUUUGACGGGUAGCCGGCCUGAGAGGGUGACCGGCCACAUUGGGACUGAGGUACGGCCCAGACUCCUACGGGAGGCAGCAGUGGGGAAUAUUGCACAAUGGGCGGAAGCCUGAUGCAGCAACGCCGCGUGCGGGAUGACGGCCUUCGGGGUGUAAACCGCUUUCGCCUGUGACGAAGCGUGAGUGACGGUAAUGGGUAAAGAAGCACCGGCUAACUACGUG